GAACUUAAGCAUAUCAAUAAGCGGAGGAAAAGAAACCAACAGGGAUUGCCUCAGUAACGGCGAGUGAAGCGGCAACAGCUCAAAUUUGAAAUCUGGCCGCAAGGUCCGAGUUGUAAUUUGUAGAGGAUGCUUUUGGCGAGGUGCCUUCCGAGUUCCCUGGAACGGGACGCCAUAGAGGGUGAGAGCCCCGUACGGUAGGACCACCAAGCCUCUGUAAAGCUCCUUCGACGAGUCGAGUAGUUUGGGAAUGCUGCUCUAAAUGGGAGGUGUACGUCUUCUAAAGCUAAAUACCGGCCAGAGACCGAUAGCGCACAAGUAGAGUGAUCGAAAGAUGAAAAGCACUUUGAAAAGAGGGUUAAAAAGUACGUGAAAUUGUUGAAAGGGAAGCAUUCAUGACCAGACUUGGGCUUGGUUGAACAUCCGGCGUUCUCGCCGGUGCACUCUGCCAGUCCAGGCCAGCAUCAGUUUGCCCCGGGGGAUAAAGGCGGCGGGAAUGUGGCUCCCUUCGGGGAGUGUUAUAGCCCGUCGUGUAAUGCCCUGGGGCGGACUGAGGAACGCGCUUCGGCACGGAUGCUGGCGUAAUGGUCAUUAAUGACCCGUCUUGAAACACGGACCAAGGAGUCGUCUUCGUAUGCGAGUGUUCGGGUGUCAAACCCCUACGCGUAAUGAAAGUGAACGUAGGUGAGAGCUUCGGCGCAUCACCGACCGAUCCUGAUGUUCUCGGAUGGAUUUGAGUAAGAGCAUACGGGGCCGGACCCGAAA
rnacentral:rRNA from 1 species